GACAGAGGGUGCAAACGUUGUUCGGAUUUACUGGGCGUAAAGCGCGUGUAGGCGGCUUUGCAAGUCGGAUGUGAAAUCCCACGGCUCAACCGUGGAAGUGCAUCCGAAACUGCAUCGCUGGAGUCUCGGAGAGGAAGGUGGAAUGCUUGGUGUAGAGGUGAAAUUCGUAGAUAUCAAGCAGAACACCUGCGGCGAAGGCGGCCUUCUGGACGAUGACUGACGCUGAGACGCGAAAGCGUGGGAAGCAAACAGG
rnacentral:rRNA from 1 species